rnacentral:tRNA from 1 species
UAGAGUAAUGGUUAGCACAUCUGCUUUACACGCAGAAGGUCCUGGGUUCGAGCCCCAG